CGGGGUGCACCAGGCGCGAAAACUUUACAAUGCUGGCAACAGCGAUAAGGGGACCUCGAGUGCCAGGAUACAAUCCUGGCUGUCGUAAUGCCUAAAAAGCAUUGCAUAGCAAGGGCCGGGCAAGACCGGUGCCAGCCGCCGCGGUAACACCGGCGGCUCGAGUGGUAACCGCUAUUAUUGGGUCUAAAGGGUCUGUAGCCGGCUGACUAAGUCUCUUGGGAAAUCUGGCAGCUCAACUGUCAGGCUUUCAGGAGAUACUGAUCGGCUCGAGACCGGGAGAGGUGAGAGGUACCUCAGGGGUAGGGGUGAAAUCUUGUAAUCCUUGAGGGACCACCAGUGGCGAAGGCGUCUCACCAGAACGGAUCUGACGGCAAGGGACGAAAGCUAGGGGCACGAACCGGAUUAGAUACCCGGGUAGUCCUAGCCGUAAACGAUACUCGCUAGGUGUCGGCCACGGUGCGACCGUGGUCGGUGCCGUAGGGAAGCCGUGAAGCGAGCCACCUGGGAAGUACGGCCGCAAGGCUGAAACUUAAAGGAAUUGGCGGGGGAGCACAAGGGCGAUUCGCG
rnacentral:rRNA from 1 species